rnacentral:rRNA from 1 species
UACGGGGGGGGCAAGCGUUGUUCGGAAUUACUGGGCGUAAAGGGCUCGUAGGCGGCCAACUAAGUCAGACGUGAAAUCCCUCGGCUUAACCGGGGAACUGCGUCUGAUACUGGAUGGCUUGAGGUUGGGAGAGGGAUGCGGAAUUCCAGGUGUAGCGGUGAAAUGCGUAGAUAUCUGGAGGAACACCGGUGGCGAAGGCGGCAUCCUGGACCGGCAUUGACGCUGAGGCGCGAAAGCGUGGGGAGCGAACAGG